AACGAACGCUGGCGGCAUGCCUAACACAUGCAAGUCGAACGAGACCUUCGGGUCUAGUGGCGCACGGGUGCGUAACGCGUGGGAACCUGCCCUUAGGUUCGGAAUAACUCCCCGAAAGGGGUGCUAAUACCGGGUAAUGUCUUCGGACCAAAGAUUUAUCGCCUUUGGAUGGGCCCGCGUUGGAUUAGCUAGUUGGUAGGGUAAAAGCCUACCAAGGCGACGAUCCAUAGCUGGUCUGAGAGGAUGAUCAGCCACACUGGGACUGAGACACGGCCCAGACGCCGACGGGAGGCAGCAGUGGGGAAUAUUGGACAAUGGGCGAAAGCCUGAUCCAGCAAUGCCGCGUGAGUGAUGAAGGCCUUAGGGUUGUAAAGCUCUUUUACCCGGGAUGAUAAUGACAGUACCGGGAGAAUAAGCGCCGGCUAACUCCGUG
rnacentral:rRNA from 1 species